UACGUAGGGUGCGAGCGUUGUCCGGAAUUAUUGGGCGUAAAGGGCUCGUAGGCGGUCUGUUGCGUCGGGAGUGAAAACUCAGGGCUUAACCCUGAGCCUGCUUCCGAUACGGGCAUCACUGGAGUUCGGCAGGGGAGACUGGAAUUCCUGGUGUAGCGGUGAAAUGCGCAGAUAUCAGGAGGAACACCGGUGGCGAAGGCGGGUCUCUGGGCCGAUACUGACGCUGAGGAGCGAAAGCGUGGGGAGCAAACAGG
rnacentral:rRNA from 1 species